AACGAACGCUGGCGGCGCGUCUUAAGCAUGCAAGUCGGACGGCAAGGAGGAGCUUGCUCCUUCCUAGAGUGGCGGACUGGUGAGUAACGCGUGGAUGACGUACCUCUCGGAUGGGGACAGCCGGCAGAAAUGCCGGAUAAUACCGAAUAAAGUCCUGUGGAGUAAAUACACAGGAUGAAAGCGGCUUCGGCCGCGCCGGGAGGGCGGUUUGCGUCCUAUCAGCUAGUUGGCGAGGUAAAGGCUCACCAAGGCGACGACGGGUACCGGCCUGAGAGGGUGAACGGACACAUUGGGACUGAGAUACGGCCCAGACUCCUACGGGAGGCAGCAGCUAAGGAUAUUCCGCAAUGGGGGAAACCCUGACGGAGCGACGCCGCGUGGACGAUGAAGGCCGGAAGGUUGUAAAGUCCUUUUGAUUGUGAAGAAUAAGCGAGACAGGCAAUGGUCCUUGUGGUGACGGUAGCAAUUGAAUAAGCACCGGCU
rnacentral:rRNA from 1 species